AACAAACGCUGGCGGCGUGCCUAAUACAUGCAAGUCGAACGGGGAAAGCUUUCGGGUGAGUACUAGUGGCGCACGAGUGAGUAACGCGUGGAUAAUCUGCCUUAGAGUGGGGGAUAACUAGUCGAAAGAUUAGCUAAUACCGCAUAAGACCACAAGAACUGCGGUUCAAGAGGUCAAAGGUUUUUCGCUCUAAGAUGAGUCCGCGUAAGAUUAGCUAGUUGGUGAGGUAACGGCUCACCAAGGCAACGAUCUUUAACUGGUCUGAGAGGAUGAUCAGUCACACUGGAACUGAGACACGGUCCAGACUCCUACGGGAGGCAGCAGUAGGGAAUAUUGCACAAUGGAGGAAACUCUGAUGCAGCGACGCCGCGUGAGUGAUGAAGGCCUUCGGGUCGUAAAGCUCUGUCGCAGGGGAAUAACACAAUGAAUGUACCCUGUAAGAAAGGAUCGGCUAACUUCGUGCCAGCAGCCGCCGCGGUAA
rnacentral:rRNA from 1 species